UGGAGUUGUAUCUCCUUAUUUGGCGAGUCACAGCGUCGUCUACGGAUUGGCCGAUUGGGAUCUAGGUUGAGCUACCAUUGGUCAAUAUGGCAUGUUCAUUAGAAUAAAUACCAAAAUGGUUGCUGUACACUGUGGACCGGCAAGGAGAUGUUGGUCUUCUUCCGAGUGUUGAUAAUGGGAUAUGAUAAAGGGUGAGUCGGUCAAGGAUCGAUGCAGACAAGGUGGUAGAUUGUACGACAAGCGACAGGUCGCAGUUGUAAAUGAGAACUUGUUCUCAACUAGCCUACCGGGUUAAACAAAGGAGCAUAUACCCACGUGGGUGAUUGAAAGAUGAACUGACGUCCACACUCCAGUCGGUUGUAGUAAUGCACCGUAAAGUUGGUUGCCAACUGCCAUAUAAAGUCCAAAGAAGAAAAAGAAGCCGGAAGGAAGGAGGAGGAGGGAUGACGAUGUAACGGCUGUCGUUGGUGGAAGAAGGAGUAGACCAAAAUGCAGCGUGGUAUGUAUCCAUAAUACCUUUUAAUCAAGAAUGAAUAAAAAAUACAGAAGAACAAGAGAAUAAAGGAAAACCGAAACAGUCCCGUAUGGUGAGAACACUGAAACGGAAAAUAACCACCCACAACCAAAAGUGGGAAAACAGGCUACCUAAGUAUGGCUUUCAAUCAGAGACAACGAUUGACAGCUGCCUCUGAUUGGGAACCAUACCAGGCCAAACACAUAGAACUACAAAACAUAGAAUGCCCACCCCAACUCACGCCCUGACCAACCUAAAACAGAGACAUAAAAAGGAACUAAGGUCAGGACAUGACAGACGAUAAACAAAUUCUGUUUACCGUUUCAUCUGAAACUAAUUCGGUUUACCGUUUUAUUUGUGGAUUAAUUGUCAGAGUUGAGGAUCUUGUGUAUUUCAGGUAAAAUAACAACCCAUUUUUCUUUAUCCCAGGACAAAUUAGCUAGCUACAGCAAGCUAACUUGCUAAAUUGCCAUAAAUGUUUAAUGCUUUUCGAGCUGUCCCCAAAUAAAUAUAAUUGGUUCCGAGUUUGUUUUGAUAUUUCAACCUGCGUGGCCUGAUCGUGUCUGGUGUGGGGGUACAAAAUCAACAUGCACGCGAUGGCAAGCAAGUUUGGUCAGCAUGUUACAGUGUUAGCUCUUCAGUAUCUCCAAUCUCUCCAGUCUACAUGACCCUGUACACAUUCAGGUUGGUCAACUGUACAACGCAUUUGACACAAUGUUUGUGGCACAACUGAUAUUUUGCAACACGGUGGAGAGUUUGUCUGCACAAAAAUGUUUACACAACCAUUGUGUGGUGUCUCCACAAUGCUUGUGUAAUCAUUUAUGUGUAGAAGAACUCUGUUGUAUCACGUACAUGCAAAAUGCAUUGUACAUCAGUUGUACAACUUGAGUGUGUAUGGGGCCAAUCAGAGUGAGUUCUAUGUUACACAGCAAUUAAGACAGCCAAGACUCCUCAGUUUAAAAAAAAACGUGAUCCUUUAUUGAGAGCAGCUUGUAUACAUUGAGGUUACUGUGAUUAUUAGUCGAAGGGGAUUAGAAAAAGAGGCCUAGGUGUGAGCGCCUAGCAUUCAUAAAACAGUUUUGCACUCAAAACAAUAUAUAAAAACAAGGUCUUCGCAAACAAAAAAGACCAUUGCAUUUUGAUUAGAUAUUGAGAAAAAGGAAAGCGGAAAAACAGCUAAUAAUCCUUCAUUUACCAGGCACUUAAGAGUCCCUUGAAGAGCAUUGGUGAUUCUCUCUCAUCCGUCUUUGCUCAUGGUAACAACAAAUGUAUUACCAAACUGACUGUGUUACUGAGAUGUAUCAUACGAGACUGAAUACAUAUGCAACUGCAUUAAGUGAUCAUCAAAGUACCUUUUUAUGAAGAAACAAAUGGGUAAAAAGACGGGACCUUCAUAAUAAAUAAAGAGGUUCCCGUAGGUACAUCCUUUUACAAUAUGAUAGUAAUAAAAAGGGAUAUUUUUAAGUGAAGUUAUGGUGCAUGGUUUCUACAUUAUGUACACAUUGCCUUGUGGGAUGGUCCACAUUACAACAUUGCACAAAAUCAUUGGACCAGCUAGAAAAAAAGGGAAUUGUGAUUGGACCUCUGAAAAUACAGCAUUGCCGGCCAUUUAAUAAUGACAGACUGAUAAAGUGAUAACAUGGUUAUACAGCUAAUAUGUGGUCUAUUAUACGGUAAUCCCAUCAAUGAUGGUCAACAUCGAGCACUUCAGAGUUAAAAUGACACUUGUAACACACUCAUAAGAGAUUUUUGUUUUUUAACUCACUCACUCAAAAAUAUUCCUUGGCUAUACAUUUGAUAGUACAUUUGUUCCUGUAAAGUAUAUAAUAACACAGACAAGUCAAUCCACUGAGUUCCCCAGACACAAUGCGUAACAGACUUUCAAGUUUAAAACUCAGUAAAAAUCUUGUCCAUUGGUGCUUAUACUCAGAUCUUACCUCUUCAAUAGAUAUCAGAACAACAGCAUCAGUGGCACACAUUAGAGGCUGCAAAUUCCAAGUCUGAAUCACACUAGAUACAGCUUUCAGGGGGUGAGUCCAGUCCAGCACAUACAGAAAGUUCCCCCUGAUGGAUAAAAGUAGCUUAGGAUCUCCUGGAUUGGUUGGGGGGACUUUAGAGUUGGUAGAUUGAGGUUCAGGUUGGCAAGGAGAGGCACUUUAGUUUUUAUGGUUCCUGUGCUGCGCGGGUCAAAAAGAGAGGGAGAGCGUCUCUGGGACAAACCAGCCCUGAGAGACCCAUGCCAGGCAUGGGCCCACUGGAA